rnacentral:rRNA from 1 species
AUUGAACGCUGGUGGCAGGCCUAACACAUGCAAGUCGAGCGGAUGACGGGAGCUUGCUCCUUGAUUCAGCGGCGGACGGGUGAGUAAUGCCUAGGAAUCUGCCUGGUAGUGGGGGACAACGUUUCGAAAGGAACGCUAAUACCGCAUACGUCCUACGGGAGAAAGCAGGGGACCUUCGGGCCUUGCGCUAUCAGAUGAGCCUAGGUCGGAUUAGCUAGUUGGUGAGGUAAUGGCUCACCAAGGCGACGAUCCGUAACUGGUCUGAGAGGAUGAUCAGUCACACUGGAACUGAGACACGGUCCAGACUCCUACGGGAGGCAGCAGUGGGGAAUAUUGGACAAUGGGCGAAAGCCUGAUCCAGCCAUGCCGCGUGUGUGAAGAAGGUCUUCGGAUUGUAAAGCACUUUAAGUUGGGAGGAAGGGCAGUAAGCUAAUACCUUGCUGUUUUGACGUUACCGACAGAAUAAGCACCGGCUAACUCUGUGCCAGCCGCCGCCGUAAGAC